UACGUAGGGUGCGAGCGUUGUCCGGAAUUAUUGGGCGUAAAGAGCGUGUAGGCGGCCAGGUAGGUCGGUUGUGAAAACUGGAGGCUCAACCUUCAGAGGUCGACCGAAACCAUCUGGCUAGAGUCCGGGAGAGGAGAGUGGAAUUCCUGGUGUAGCGGUGAAAUGCGCAGAUAUCAGGAAGAACACCAAUGGCGAAGGCAGCUCUCUGGGACGGUACUGACGCUGAGACGCGAAAGCGUGGGGAGCGAACAGG
rnacentral:rRNA from 1 species